CCCGAACCCUCGUGUGAAGGGUGCAGUACCUAAGCCGGAGCGGGGUAGAGGUGGGCCGGCACCCCCUUCUGACCUCCGGUGCCGCCGGCCUCGAGAUCAGACAUGGCCCAGAACUUGAAGGACUUGGCGGGGCGGCUGCCCGCCGGGCCCCGGGGCAUGGGCACGGCCCUGAAGCUGUUGCUGGGGGCCGGCGCCGUGGCCUACGGUGUGCGCGAAUCUGUGUUCACCGGUGAGCAACCUCCGCCCGCUCGCCGGACGCUUCCAGUCCCUCCCCCAAACCCCUUGCCCUGUCCCCGCGCCCCUCCACGAGCCUAGCAUUUCCUCUGAGCAGCGGCCUGGCCUGAUCACCACCCAUCUCCCCACAGUGGAAGGCGGGCACAGAGCCAUCUUCUUCAAUCGGAUCGGUGGAGUGCAGCAGGACACUAUCCUGGCCGAGGGCCUUCACUUCAGGAUCCCUUGGUUCCAGUACCCCAUUAUCUAUGACAUUCGGGCCAGACCUCGAAAAAUCUCCUCCCCUACAGGCUCCAAAGACCUACAGAUGGUGAAUAUCUCCCUGCGAGUGUUGUCUCGACCCAAUGCUCAGGAGCUUCCUAGCAUGUACCAGCGCCUAGGGCUGGACUACGAGGAA
rnacentral:sRNA from 1 species